CCCGACCUCAGAUUAGU
rnacentral:rRNA from 1 species